UCCUCCAUGUACUGUAUUAUAGCUUUAAAGAGCCAACAAGCUAUUUAGCAUACAUUCUUUUAUUAAGUUGGGGCCUGAAAGCUUGGUUAGAGCCCUUCAGAGAUAUAAAUCACUGGAAAAAGCACAAGAGAUGAUGGUUUAACACCUCUAAGUGUAGCUGGGUAUUUUCCUCCUAGAAGACAACCCUCCCUUUCAGCUCCCCAUACAAUUAAACUGUCUGUUAAUGACUGGGGCUAUCCAGCUAAAACAAAGUCUAAGAUUUUAAGAUACAGGGAUUCCCAGAUUCAAGCACUGCCACUAAGACUUCUUCCAAACACUAAUAACUACUCUUUAUUUUGUGUAUGCAGGAGUUGUCAGGCUGCCUGCUGCUAUUGUUACAGUAAGUGCUUGCUCAGCUACAGAACAAUCAGCAUCAAGUGAUCUGCACUUUAAGAAGGUGCGAAAUGGCAGAACAUGUACAGUUACUGUGGAAGUGAGGGUGGAGCCAGCCACAAAAAGUGUGCCAGAAGCACAACUUACCUGCCACAGAAAAUUUGUACCUGCAUUCAUCUAGAAUUGAAUAGUGAAUUCAGUAACUGUGGAGUUCAGCUUGGUAAAAGGAUGGCAACUUGUAACUACACAGUUACCAGAGUCCCCAAAGUGCAAGUUCUUCCAAGUAGCUGAGACCCUGCAAGAGGCAGCGAUGCUGGUGGCCUGCAGCAUGUACUGGAUGUGCCCACACAGGAGGCAGCUACGAUGAGUCCAUGUACCCUGACAGGUAGGAAUCACACGUCUCCAUUAGCUCACACCUUGGGCCUCCCAACAGAAAACAGUAGUAAAAAUAAAUAGAAAGACAGCUAGUAAAAACAACCUAGAAAACAGGGAAGGUCUCUAAAAGGAAGAAAACCCUGUUUCACACCUACCAAACGGCUUAAAUACAUCCAAUAAGCAAAGACUAUGAAGACCUCAAAGUGCCUCGUUAUCCCAACUCUUGCCCAUGGCCCCAGACAAAGCACUCGACGCUUCAGCAACACCUCACGCUCAAGUUUCCACCGCUGCAGCCAUGCGC